GACGAACGCUGGCGGCGUGCCUAAUACAUGCAAGUCGAACGCAGUGGGGACGGGUGAGUAACACGUGGGUAACCUCCCAUCAGAGGGGAUAACACUUGGAAACAGGUGCUAAACUGAUAUUGAUGGAUGGACUCGCGGUGCAUUAGCUAGUUGGUGAGGUAACGGCUCACCAAGGCCACGAUGCAUAGCCGACCUGAGAGGAUGAUCAGCCACACUGGAACUGAGACACGGCCCAGACUCCUACGGGAGGCAGCAGUAGGGAAUCUUGGGCAAUGGGCGAAAGCCUGACCGAGCAAUGCCGCGUGUGUGAAGAAGGUUUUCGGGUCGUAAAGCUCUUUUGUCAGAGAAGCGGUACCUAACCAGGAAGCCCCGGCUAACUACGUGCCAGCCGCCGCGGUAAUAC
rnacentral:rRNA from 1 species